UGAAUUGAAGGCACGGGAGGAAAGCUCCGGCACUUUCCGCCUAUUGCAUGACUUGAGCGCGGUCAAUGCCCAGCUUGUACCUUUUGGGGCAGUGCAGCAAGGUGGACCAGUACUGUCAGCCAUACCCAAGGAGUGGCCGUUGGUGGUCAUAGAUCUUAAAGACUGCUUUUUCUCCAUCCCUCUUGCGGAAGAGGAUCGGGAGGCAUUCGCCUUUAC
rfam:Gallus gallus isolate RJF #256 breed Red Jungle fowl, inbred line TCD001 chromosome Z, whole genome shotgun sequence.